AUUGAACGCUGGCGGCAUGCUUUACACAUGCAAGUCGAACGGUAACAGGCCGCAAGGUGCUGACGAGUGGCGAACGGGUGAGUAAUGCAUCGGAACGUGCCCAGUCGUGGGGGAUAACUACUCGAAAGAGUAGCUAAUACCGCAUACGAUCUAUGGAUGAAAGCGGGGGACCGUAAGGCCUCGCGCGAUUGGAGCGGCCGAUGUCAGAUUAGGUAGUUGGUGGGGUAAAGGCUCACCAAGCCAACGAUCUGUAGCUGGUCUGAGAGGACGACCAGCCACACUGGGACUGAGACACGGCCCAGACUCCUACGGGAGGUAGCAGUGGGGAAUUUUGGACAAUGGGCGCAAGCCUGAUCCAGCAAUGCCGCGUGCAGGAAGAAGGCCUUCGGGUUGUAAACUGCUUUUGUACGGAACGAAACGGCUCUGGUUAAUACCUGGGGCUAAUGACGGUACCGUAAGAAUAAGCACCGGCUAACUACGUG
rnacentral:rRNA from 1 species